GAUUGCGNAUGGCCUGACGGCUGACGCAGCAACGCCGCGUGACCGAUGAAGCUCUAAGGAGUGUAAAGGUCUGUUAGAAGGGAAGAAAAGUUCAGACGCAAAUAAUUUCUGGACCUGACGGUACCUUCAGAGAAAGCUCCGGCCAACUCCGUGCCAGCAGCCGCGGUAAUACGGGGGGAGCAAGCGUUGUCCGGAAUCACCGGGCGUAAAGGGCGUGUAGGUGGAGCUGUAAGUCAGGAGUGAAAUUUGUUGGCUUAACCAACAAACUGCUUUUGAUACUGCGGUUCUUGAGUAAGACAGAGGAAAGUGGAAUUCCUGGUGUAGCGGUGAAAUGUGUAGAUAUCAGGAAGAACACCAGCAGCGAAGGCGGCUUUCUGGGUCUUUACUGACACUGAAACGCGAAAGCGUGGGGAGCAAACAGGAUUGGAUACCCUGGUAGUCCACGCCUUAAACUAUGAGCACUAGGUGUUGGAGGAUUUGACCCCUUCAGUGCCGAAGCUAACGCAUUAAGUGCUCCGCCUGGGGAGUACGAUCGCAAGGUUGAAACUCAAAGAAAUUGACGGA
rnacentral:rRNA from 1 species